UCAUCYRAGGCCCCGUAAUCGGAAUGAGUACACUUUAAAUCCUUUAAMGARGAUCCAUUGGAGGGCAAGUCUGGUGCCAGCAGCCGCGGUAAUUCCAGCUCCAAUAGCGUAUAUUAAAGUUGUUGCGGUUAAAAAGCUCGUAGUUGAAUCUGUGUGUCACGAUGCUGGUUCACCGCUCGCGGUGUUUAACUAGCAUGCCGUGAGACGUCCUACCGGUGGGCUUAGCUCUUCACGGGGCGGUCCAACUAAUAUCCCAUCGCGGUGCUCUUCAUCGAGUGUCGAGGUGGGCCGGUACGUUUACUUUGAACAAAUUAGAGUGCUUAAAGCAGGCUAUCUUCGCCUGAAUACUGUGUGCAUGGAAUAAUGGAAUAGGACCUCGGUUCUAUUUUGUUGGUUUUCGGAACCCCGAGGUAAUGAUUAAUAGGGACAGAUGGGGGCAUUCGUAUUGCGACGUUAGAGGUGAAAUUCUUGGAUCGUCGCAAGACGGACAGAAGCGAAAGCAUUUGCCAAAAAUGUUUUCAUUAAUCAAGAACGAAAGUUAGAGGUUCGAAGGCGAUCAGAUACCGCCCUAGUUCUAACCAUAAACGAUGCCAGCUAGCGAUCCGCCGAAGUUCCUCCGAUGACUCGGCGGGCAGCUUCCGGGAAACCAAAGCUUUUGGGUUCCGGGGGAAGUAUGGUUGCAAAGCUGAAACUUAAAGGAAUUGACGGAAGGGCACCACCAGGAGUGGAGCCUGCGGCUUAAUUUGACUCAACAC
rnacentral:rRNA from 1 species